UUAUUUGAGAAUUCGUCGUCUGUUGUAAAGAGUGUUGAAAGCUUGAAACAAUUUUUGAAGUUAGCAGGCCGUGGCCUUGUUCUACAUUGUUCUGCUUUUUGUUGCAUUACGGGACGAUGCAAGAUGAAGGUGCAACCACAGUGCAACGGUAUUUAAUUUCUCAGAAACUACGAAUCACACCUAAAGCAAUUUUCGUUGUUUUAGUCGCCUGGCUAGGCAGGUUUCAAACACUGUGUAGUGUGUACCUUCUGGGCUUUGUGACAUAAUCAUGUCAAAAUGUUUUCGUUAAAGUAAGACAAGAGGAAAUAAUAUAGAUUCAGAGUCAUGAAUUGGUUUACCAAAUUUUGGACCGUUUUAUUUUAAAAAGUCAUGAUAAUGUUAACAAAUUUCAGUGUCACUAUUUGUGGAAUCUGUCUGAAUUCAGAUACUGAUGUACCAGUCUUACUGCUGAUCAUCGUGAUACAUAUGUGUGUGCUGUCAAAGCAAAAAAAUAUUUUUAAAAAGUCCCCAACAAGUGUCCAUACAGGACACACCACAUUACAACAGCACUGGUAAAUCUUUUAGCAAGUCCUAGUGACAUAGUUGGUAUUUGCUUAAUCACCAGCAUAAGGUCAGUUCACACAUAAAUUAAUUUUAUUAUACCUGUUGAAUAAAAGUAAAGGUUUCAUGCUUGAAAGUAAUAUGAAAAUGAGAAUUUUUUUUACUUACAAUGGUAAUGGCAGCGGAUUGCAGAUCUGUGUAGAAUGUCCUGAAUCCAACGACCACGGUAGCCCUGUGGGAUGAUGCGAAAUCAUAAAUUAAAGAUAUUUUUCAAGACAAUAUCCUAUAAUAACUAACUUCAUUGCGACUUGUCCUUUGAAAUCUGCAGGUGGAGUCCACAAAAAUGUUUCGUUCUUUCUCCUCACUCGGCUUGAAUGGGUUACAGCGUUCUGUAAGUGAAAAAAGUAUGAAAAAUUAAAUAAUACCAGAAAUUAUUUUUGUUUGUUAACGUCUAGUAUCACAUACUGCAGUUCCUCCUGGACAGUCCAUUGUUUUGCCCUGACUACCUUCAGCACUGAAACUGCCAAUCCCCGUGGUGUUAGUGCCUGAUCGAGCUUGAAUCAUGUAGCCUCUAAAUUCGGCUUCACCAGUAGACUGAAGAGUUACUUUAAAGCCAAACAAAAUCGUAAUUAAUUCUUAAUAUCUAACAAGAUUCUUAACAACAAGCAAGAAAGAGAGCAAUGUAACAAGUUUUUAACAAUCUAAAUUGUUUUACCUGUUAUAGGAGAAACUGAAUUGGCUUGUGCACUGCUAAUUGACAAAGUAAAAGGAACUGUAUCUUGUUGUGCACCAAAAAGCAUGUGAAUGGGUGCCAUUGAUGCGCAUGCACUACGAGGAGCACCACCGGGAAAUGCAGCUACCUGAGCCGUAACUAACGCACUCACAAUUACGAGGUAAGCGUUCAACAUUCUAUUAAAAAAAAUAAUAAUUGGUAUUAAAAAUGAUUGCUGAGGUUCUCUCAAUGUAUUUCAAUGCCCACCGAAUAGUUAAAUUCUUACCUUUGUUAAGUGUGAUGCAAAUUUUUUGAAGGUUUAAGAAACACGGACAGUGUAAUGGCUACUCGCCGCUGUUUUUGUGGUCGUGUGCGUAGUGGUGAGAGAUCGGGAACUGAGAGCAAAAGCUGAAGCACGGCGGGCUUUUAUUUAUCGCCCACCGGCAGCUAUCAAGGUGCUUCCACAACUUAUACGCCCUUUGGGGCUAGUCACUGGUAUAAAACCGGCAAUAAUGUGUACGGGGGGUUGGGGGAGGGGAGGCCGGCAUCACUAGACAAAAAGGUGAAGGGAACGUGUUAAAGGAUGAGAGAAAGAGAGAGAGAAACAGACAGAGAGAAGCUCUUAAUCAUGGGGCUUAUUUACUAUUCUGAGCAAAUCCACUAACACGUAUGAAAAUAAGCAAACGGUAAAACCAGCACACCAUUACCUUGACAAAUAAAACAACUCCUGGAGCAAUGGCCUUAAAAUUUUACGGUCGUUCACGUGCAAGGAAAUCAGAAUAUCACAUAAAAUCCUUCACUUUCCUUAGCCGCUCCGACACAAGCGCUCAUGUAAUAAUUGAGCUCGUGGUAGUCGUCAAUAGUAUCAAAAUCACCAACACUAUCAUUUUUCCCCUUGCAUUUUCGUCGUUGCUUUUGGGACUGAACAGGCGAGAGCGUUGGGGUCGUUAGAAAAAAAUAAAUAAAAGAACCGGUUGGUCAACCAAUAGACGACGACUUUAACCUCAUUUCCCUUUCACUUGAGACGGGGUCUCUGAAUAAAUUAUUACGUCCUCCGGCCGAAGCUAAAGUAAAAUUUCUCGUAGCGCUGUCUUAUUUUGUUUGCUUAUUAUUUAUUGAUUACAUUUUCCAGACAAAAGAAGAGAAAUUGAGAGAGUUGAACGGCACGUUUAAGUCCAGCUUUAGGUAUUAGCAGAGGUAGCCACCAAUCGCGAUGACAGACGGAAAAAAAAUGAAAGAAAUGACACCUGGCUGACUUCAAGUUCAAUAGCUUUACAGCAUUUACAUGGCAUGAUAUAUACCAUCAAAUCUCCUCCUUUAAGCUGCUGUCAUUGAAGUAAAUGGAAAUUCGGCAUAUCCGUGCGGAAGUUGAAUACCAGGAAGAGAGUAAUGAAAAUAUUAAAGAAACGCCAAGAUUAUCAAAUGACCUUGGACAGCGUUGCAGAGUGUUUCUUUUUUGAGGCCCACUUUCUCAUCGUCACGACUGUGGAAAAAAAACGGAGGUACUGCUCAAGGUUUUCACUGAAUUCUGCUGAUAUUCCUUUUACUAUGAAACUUUGGAUUUACUGGUUUUCCCCUGCAACAAUCGUCAAGAUGACCUUCUUUGAUUCGUUCGUCACAUCGGUCAUCCCCCUUUUUUCUUUUUGCCUGCUAUCCAUAUGCAAAAACUAUUUGAUGUCCCCAAUUCGAAGAAGCAAGUAAGUAAAAUGGCUAGUAGAAAGUUUGUCAUUGUAUAUCUCUAUGUUGCACGCACAUGCUCACCUUAAAAGACUUUCACUCGGUGUUGGAUGAUUCUUGUUUGCCUAUGAAUUGAUUAACGCUUGCAGGGCUGUAACAAUGUUCGGUGACAAUAGCCAGUAAAUUUUUUUCAGUUAAUGGUAAAAGUAUUUUGGCUGGUAUUCACAUUUGCAUUUGCAUUGAACAUCAUAGUGGCGCUACAUUAUGUAUUGAAAAGAUUUACUUUGAGUAUGGCUUUUUACUACCAUGUGCACCGCCAAAUUUCUUGGAUAAAACUUCCGUCUUGACCUUUCUCGUAUUAUUACUGGCCACUUGCUUAACUUCUCCUGGCAUCCACACGUUAAUAAUCCCGUCUUCGCCACCUGAUACAACUUGUCCGCUAACUUGAUUAAACGCGGCGCCACGAAUCGUUUGCGAAUUUCCGCCUUUCUCAUCGAACAGAAUAGCAAACGGUUCCAGUACACCUUCACUCAUUUUUAACAUUCUGAGGCAUCCCCUGUUAAGAAAAUAGGUUGACGGUAAGAAUUUUCCAUAUAAUGUAAUGGCAUAAUGCAUUCUACCUGUUUGGCGUAUUUGAACCUGCAAGUAACAAAGGAUCUUGCCCUUCUCCCCUUUGAAAACAUCGAAUGGCGAAACAUGUCUCAGAUUUCUUUCUCUUUUAAAAGUAAAAAAUAAAUAAAAAUAAAAAAUAAGCCAUGAUUUAUAUCAAUAAAAAUUUCAUUUGGGUUUAUACCCUGAGCGCAUCUGCUAUUUUUUCUCGCGAAAAGAUAUGUUUCGGUGAUGCUUCUUCAACGUCCCAGAUUUGAACAUUUUCUGUACUGGUAGUGACUGAUAUGCUCUCUUGUUUUGUCUUCAUAUCAUAUCCAAGCCACUGUAAUCUCCCACAUGUUGUUUCUGUAUUCAAACUAAACUUGUGAAUAAAUUAAAAAGUUAA